CUAGUGCUGUUGUCGCUCUAUCUUCUUGAAUAUACCAAGGGGAGCGAGAGAACCCUCGUUAAGGAAUUAGGCAAAUUUCCCCCGUACGUUCGCAAUAAGGGGGGCCUCUGGUGGUGAGCUUAAUCGCAAAGCUGCUGGAGGCCGCAGAGAAAUGGCUCUUCCAACUGUUUAACAAAAACACAGGUCUCUGCUAAGUCGAAAGACGAAGUAUAGGGGCUGACGCCUGCCCAGUGCUGGAAGGUUAAGGGGAGAGGUUAGGCGCAAGCCGAAGCUUUGAGCCGAAGCCCCAGUGAACGGCGGCCGUAACGAUAACGGUCCUAAGGUAGCGAAAUUCCUUGUCGGGUAAGGUCCGACCCGCACGAAUGGCGUAAUGAGAGGAGCACUGUCUCAACGAGGGACUCGGCGAACAUUGAAGGACGUGUGAAGAUACACGUGACCCGCAGCGGGACAAAAAGACCCCGUGAAGCUUUACUACAACUUGCCAUUGAGUUAGGGCUAAACCUGUGUAGUAUAGGUGGGAGGCUUUGAAGCUGGGACGCCAGUCUCGGUGGAGUCACCGUUGGAAUACCACCCUGGUUUAUUCUUGGCUCUAACCUGUCGCCGUUAUCCGGCAUGGGAACAGUGGCUGGUGGGUAGUUUGACUGGGGCGGUCGCCUCCGAAAGCGUAACAGAGGCGCCCAAAGGUUCCCUCAGGCUGAAUGGAAACCAGCCGUUGAGUGUAAAGGCACAAGGGAGCUUGACUGCAAGACCAACAAGUCGCGCAGGGACGAAAGUCGGGCUUAGUGAUCCCACGGUUCAGAGUGGAAUGGCCGUGGCUUACCGGAUAAAAGCUACUCCGGGGAUAACCGGGUAGUCUGGUCCAAGAGUUCAUAUCGACGACCAGGUUCGCCACCUCGAUGUCGGCUCAUCACAUCCUGGGGCUGGAUAAGGUCCCAAGGGUUGGGCUGUUCGCCCAUUAAAGUGGUACGUGAGCUGGGUUCAGACCGUCGUGAGACAGGUCGGUCUCUAUCCGCUGUGGGCGUAAGGGAUUUGAGAGAAGCUGCCCCUAGUACGAGAGGACCGGGGUGGACGGACCUCUAGUGUGCCAGUUGUUCUGCCAAGAGCAUUGCUGGGUAGCUACGUCCGGCAGAGAUAACCGCUGAAAGCAUCUAAGUGGGAAACUCGUCUCAAGAUUAGAUCCCUCAUCCGUAUGGAGUAAGACCGCUAGAAGACUACUAGUUUGAUAGGCGGCAGGUGUAAGCGCAGUAAUGUGUUCAGCUUAGCCGUACUAAUGGUCGAGGGCUUACGUUU
rnacentral:rRNA from 1 species